ACGGAGGGAGCUAGCGUUGUUCGGAAUUACUGGGCGUAAAGCGCACGUAGGCGGCUUUGUAAGUCAGAGGUGAAAGCCUGGAGCUCAACUCCAGAACUGCCUUUGAGACUGCAUCGCUUGAAUCCAGGAGAGGUGAGUGGAAUUCCGAGUGAAGAGCUGAAAGUCGUUGAGAUUCGGAAGAACGCCAGAAGCGAAGGAAGCACACGGGACUAGAAUGCACGGGUUGAUGACGAAGUGUGCGUAUCAGCUAG
rnacentral:rRNA from 1 species